GGGAAGUGUUGUUGUGACGGUUUCGGGAGAUACAGUUGCUAAUGGCAGGGAAUCUGAACCUGAGGAUGAUGUUGGUUGUUCUGAUCCAAAAAGCAUAUAUAUGUUGGUGGAAAAUGUGGAUGUAGUAGAUAGAAAAAGAACCUUCAGGCGCAGAAUGUUAAUUAUCUCUGAGG